UCUAAUGUAUGCCUUUUAAAAAUCUGUAU
rnacentral:piRNA from 1 species